UACGGGGGGUGCGAGCGUUGUCCGGAAUCACUGGGCUUAAAGCGCGUGUAGGUGGACGGGUAAGUAUCUUGUGAAAUCCCACGGCUCAACCGUGGAACUGCUGGAUAUACUGCUUGUCUUGAGGCACUUAGGGGCAGCUGGAACAAAUGGUGGAGCGGUGAAAUGCGUAGAUAUCAUUUGGAACGCCAAAGGCGAAAGCAGGCUGGCUGGGAGUGAUCUGACACUGAGACGCGAAAGCCAGGGGAGCAA
rnacentral:rRNA from 1 species